rfam:Myotis lucifugus cont2.1971, whole genome shotgun sequence.
GGUGGUUCUCAGGUGACGCACCCCAGAAUCAGGUUCCCUCCUCUCUGGUUCCGAUGUGUCACCCGAGAACCCCA